rnacentral:rRNA from 1 species
UUCAGCAGCUGUAUCACUCUGCAACUCACAACUGGCAACCCACUGAAGCUAAGCAGGUGUGAGCCUGGUCAGUACCUGGAUGGGAAACCUCCUGGGAAAAAUUAAGGUUGCUGCUGGAA